UUUCCCAGAACACCUGGCAAUGCCCAUGGGGACUCAGAGAUGAGAAGGCAGCUGGACCAGAAGAAUCACAAAAUCAUGGGAUUGCAGUGACUCUGUCAUCACUGGAUUUCAGCAGAAGUGUGGCACAUCCCAGGAUAGAUUCCACCACUGUGGAAGCACAGCCCUCAGGGUUCCCUAGGGUUACUCUUGAACACGUGUAAAUCAGCCUCCAACUCUUCUUGUUAGACUUGGAGCCCAACUUUCGCCAUUUCGCCCUCACUCAGUGGAAGAAUGAACUCAGCUGAUCUUCAGAAUAGUGCUGUGCUCCAAAUCACAGCCCUGAGCUGAUCCUGCUCUCCAGCUCCUCCUGAUGCUCAUUCCUGGAGCACUCUACAGCCAGCCAGAAGUCCAUUUCCCUGCAUGAUUCACAAAUUCCUUUGAGACCAUGCAGGACUUUGAUACCAUCAUUCAUUUUUUUUUUCUUUUUAGUUUGAUAAAGAAUGAGGAAGUUGCUCCAAUGUCACUUUUGCACCCCUUUUUGUGGUAUUUGUCCAUUCUGCUGGCAGAAAGCAGAUUGAGCAAAUAUGCAUGUCAAGAUAUUACAGGUAGACCUUGACUUCAUAGAAAUGAAUUGAUUGAUAGAAAAAUUGGCAAAACUGGCAGUCAUGGCAUCAGAAUCCUCUCAUGGAGAAAGUGAUAUAAAGGUUAAAUAUCCUGUAAUAAUGAAGUGUAUACUCCUUCAAAACAUCCUUCUAUUUGAUCUCAAAAAUUGGACCUUUGGUGAAAAUACAAGCCAUGAAAUGAAUGAAGGUGAAGAAUAACCAGCAGAAAUACCAAGGGAGAGGCACAAUUUCAGUAUAAAUCACAGAAUUUACCUUGGAAAGGAUGCAAGCACAAUCCCUAGAAGUAGUGCAGAUUUGUGAACUCAACAUUGAAUUCACCUCCCUUUAAACUCUAGGUGAGUUGGGAAUAUGAAUAACACAAUGUCAUGUGAGAUGGGGAAGUAAAUGAAACCUGGAAAGCAGCCAAGUGGGGAAAAAAAAUAAAAGAACAAAGAAAAGGAGAAAGUUUACUGCUCUGUUUGCAAUGGCUGUUGACAAAAAUGCUACCUCGAAUAGUUACACCUGAACUGGAGCAGUUUGUCAUAAUUACCAUUCUGCAGCGCAUUUCACUUUUGUGCCUUUUGGCCCACAGACACCACCCACUGAAAACUUGCCUUUGAAGUGCUCCACCUUCUAUGUGGCUUGAGUGACUUCUUGGUUCUGUCUCAGUUUGCUACAGACAGCUUCAGAAAUAUCCAAGAUGUGAUUUACCUUUUAUUUUUUUGGUAGAAUUGCUACAGCAUCUUAUGUUCAAAGCAACUGCCUUGGUGGGAAGGGAUGGACAGCUUGGGUUACCCAGGCAAGACCAGACCAAGAGUAAAUAGAAUAGGCUGAGAAGGCUCAGCGAGAGCAUAGGUAAUCUAUGUUCAAUCUGCUUCACACCAUGGUGAGAAUUUUUACCCUGCAGAUGUUUGCUAUCCUGGAUUUACUUUAUGCAUUUUUUUUUCCAUGUAUUUGAGCAUAUGAAGCACAGGAGAGUUACACAAGAUUAUAGUUUAUCUCAGCUCGCAGCACAAAAUUUGACUCUCUGUAAAGUUUUAUCAGGAGUGUAAGAAUAGACACAGUUUUGUAUGAAGGUCACAGUAUUGUAUAUCCAGUGCUUCUAUUAUCAGUCUCCCAAUAACAGAGUUUUCUUGUAUCUGAAUGGCAGUUACCAUAUUUGGUUCCUUUCUAGCAAUAGCAUGUUGUUGUUGAAUUCAGUGAUAUAAGAUCAGAAACUCCACCAAAAAAAAAAAAAAAAAAAAAAAAACCUGUGAUUUUAUUACCAUUAUUCUUAGUUGCGAAAAGUUUCUUUAUGGAUAGAUAUAUAUAUAUAUAUAUUUUUUUUUUUUAAAGAAAGACUUUUCUACCUGAGUUAUCAUCUGAGAUAGUUUGUGGACCAUGCUAACUUCAGUGUAGUUUGAGUGAAUUCAUGGCACUGAAUAUUCAUACAGCGUAUGAUACAGACACUGAACCCAAUUUAGUAAAUGAAUACUUGUAAUUUCACCAAAGCCCCUCUGAGAGAUUAUUAUGCAGAUUUAUGAAGGAAUAUUGCUGAAGCAAUUCUUGGCUGUGUUUUCAGUCACAGAGGACUUAAAGUAUGUAAACCUAAAAUUAUUUCAGACUUAUUUACUGUCACUACUUU
rnacentral:lncRNA from 7 species